AGUGAACGCUGGCGGCAGGCCUAACACAUGCAAGUCGAGCGGCAGCACGGCAAUAGCAAUAUUGUGGGUGGCGAGCGGCGGACGGGUGAGGAAUGCAUCGGGAUCUACCCUGUCGUGGGGGACAACGUAGGGAAACUUACGCUAAUACCGCAUGAUCUGGAGACAGCAAAGCCGGGGACCCGCGAGGGCCUGGCGCGAUGGGAUGAGCCGAUGUCCGAUUAGCUAGUUGGCGGGGUAAAGGCCCACCAAGGCGACGAUCGGUAGCUGGUCUGAGAGGACGACCAGCCACACUGGAACUGAGACACGGUCCAGACUCCUACGGGAGGCAGCAGUGGGGAAUAUUGGACAAUGGGGGCAGCCCUGAUCCAGCCAUGCCGCGUGGGUGAAGAAGGCC
rnacentral:rRNA from 1 species